rnacentral:rRNA from 1 species
AGCAGCCGCGGUAAUUCCAGCUCCAAUAGCGUAUAUUAAAGUUGUUGCAGUUAAAAAGCUCGUAGUUGAACUUCGGGGUUUACCCAUUGGUCAGGCUUAAUUGUCUGUACUGGUGAGAUAAAUCUCUACCUUCUGAGGAACUUUCAUGCCAUUUAGUUGGUGUGAUAGGAAAUCAGGACUGUUACUUUGAAAAAAUUAGAGUGUUUAAAGCAGGCUAACGUCUGAAUACAUUAGCAUGGAAUAAUGAAAUAGGACGGAUUGGUUCUAUUUCGUUGGUUUCUAGGAUCACCGUAAUGAUUAAUAGGGAUAGUUGGGGGCAUUAGUAUUCAAUUGUCAGAGGUGAAAUUCUUGGAUUUAUUGAAGACUAACUAUUGCGAAAGCAUUUGCCAAGGAUGUUUUCAUUAAUCAAGAACGAAAGUUAGGGGAUCGAAGACGAUCAGAUACCGUCGUAGUCUUAACCAUAAACUAUGCCGACUAGGGAUCGGACGAAGUUAAUUUUAUAAUGACGCGUUCGGCACCUUACG